GAGUUUGAUCGUGGCUCAGAUUGAACGCUGGCGGCAUGCCUUACGCAUGCAAGUCGAACGGCAGCACGGGAGCUUGCUCCUGGUGGCGAGUGGCGAACGGGUGAGUAAUGCAUCGGAACGUAUCCUGGAGUGGGGGAUAACGUAGCGAAAGUUACGCUAAUACCGCAUAUUCUGUGAGCAGGAAAGCGGGGGACCUUCGGGCCUCGCGCUCUUGGAGCGGCCGAUGUCGGAUUAGCUAGUUGGUGAGGUAAAGGCUCACCAAGGCGACGAUCCGUAGCAGGUCUGAGAGGAUGAUCUGCCACACUGGAACUGAGACACGGUCCAGACUCCUACGGGAGGCAGCAGUGGGGAAUUUUGGACAAUGGGGGCAACCCUGAUCCAGCCAUGCCGCGUGAGUGAAGAAGGCCUUCGG
rnacentral:rRNA from 1 species